rnacentral:rRNA from 1 species
CUCGAAGUGGGGGGAUAACCAUUGGAAACGAUGGCUAAUACCGCAUAAGCUGGUGAUGAUGGGAAUCGUUAUCAGGAAAGCUUUAGUGCUUUGAGAGGGGCCUACGGCCGAUUAGCUAGUUGGUGAGGUAAAGGCUCACCAAGGCGAUGAUCGGUAGCUGGUCUGAGAGGACGAUCAGCCACACGGGAACUGAGACACGGUCCCGACUCCUACGGGGGGCAGCAGUGAGGAAUAUUCGGCAAUGGGGGCAACCCUGACCGAGCAACGCCGCGUGGAGGAUGACGGUUUUCGGAUUGUAAACUCCUUUUCUCAGGGAAGAGUGAGGACGGUACCUGAGGAAUAAGUCACGGCUAACUACGUGCCAGCAGCCGCGGUAAUACGUAGGUGGCAAGCGUUAUCCGGAAUUACUGGCGUAAAGCGCACGCAGGUGGCUGCUUAAGUCUGACGUGAAAGCUCCUGCUUAACUGGGAGAGGUC